UGGGGAAUUUUGGACAAUGGGGGCAACCCUGAUCCAGCCAUGCCGCGUGAGUGAAGAAGGCCUUCGGGUUGUAAAGCUCUUUCGGCGGGGAAGAAAUGGCAACGGCUAAUAUCCGUUGUUGAUGACGGUACCCGCAUAAGAAGCACCGGCUAACUACGUGCCAGCAGCCGCGGUAAUACGUAGGGUGCGAGCGUUAAUCGGAAUUACUGGGCGUAAAGCGUGCGCAGGCGGUUUCGUAAGACAGACGUGAAAUCCCCGGGCUCAACCUGGGAACUGCGUUUGUGACUGCGAGGCUAGAGUACGGCAGAGGGGGUAGAAUUCCACGUGUAGCAGUGAAAUGCGUAGAGAUGUGGAGGAAUACCGAUGGCGAAGGCAGCCCCCUGGGUUAGUACUGACGCUCAUGCACGAAAGCGUGGGGAGCAAACA
rnacentral:rRNA from 1 species